CUCCAUUUUUUGGCACAUGCGUUUUGACUUCAGUGUGUGUAAUGUAUUGUAGCAGAGAAAUGCCACUGCUAUGUGUAUGGUGCCAUGUGUUCAUUGUCUUCUGAUUAUAUACUCAAUCAUUGGUACACAU